ACUACAAAAAAGGGCAAGGAGACUAUAUAUAGGAGACCGGUUAAUGUUACUAACCCAUUUCUUAAAUGUAGGAAACCAUUCAUUAUCAAAAACCGGUCUCUUAAGUUUAAUUAUUUGACUUAUUGAAAAGUUUUUUUUGAGAUAGGAGACUGUUUAUCAAUAAAACCGGUUUCCUUGAUAUAUUUUAAUUUUAAAAAGAAAUUCACGAAUAAUGGUAAAAAAAAAAAACCAGUAAUUUUGUGCAAUUUAUGAGAACGAAUAAUACCUCCUCAUUCUUUAAAAAUUUUAAAACCUCACAGUCAUCGUUUUCCCUCUUCACCCUCCUACUCAACCUCCAUCUCCUAUCCUCGCAUUCUCUCUCUCCUCUUUCGUCCUCAACCCCUAUCUGGUACUUCUCUUUUUUCAUCUCUCCUACUCUGAUUUCUCUACUCUAUUUACGGAAAGCAUAAGGUAUGUUCUUGAUUUGAUUUUAGGGUUUUGAGUUUCGAUUGUUUUUUAAUCUCGCAUGUUUGCUUGAUUCUGCUCGUUGAUGUUCCUUCGAUAUUUGUGUUAUUUAAGCUUUAAAUCUUAAGUUAUUUGACGAAAGCUUGUUUAUUUUACUGUUGAACCCUAAUUUCGUCGUCUAAAGCUAGCACAUUUCUUCGGUUCCUUAUGCUUAAUUUGUCGAUUUUUUUUGUUGUUUCGUGUUUUGCGUUACUCACCAAUGGAUUCGGCUGGCUCUCUGUUCGUUUUCGCAUAUUAGAUUAGGUUUUUCGUCUUUAUAAGUUAGUUUUGUUGGCUGUUAUUUAGGUAUUGAGAAAUUAAGGGUUUUUCUUAGAAGUUAGACAUGGUAUGAAUGUUGAGAAAUUUUCAUAAUUAGAAGGUUAAUUUAGGAGUAUUAAAUAUGCUAGAUAAAGGCUUUGUGACAUGACACUUAGCUAACUCGAUCUAGGUCGAAUUCCUAACAGCGUUGCAGAUAGAAAUAGUUACUGAACUACUGAAUUUGGGUUUCUGAUAUCACUUGUUAGUUGGUGCUUUGAGGUACUGCGUUAUCUGUUUAAUCUUAUUGGGGAUGUGAGUUUAAUCUAUCUUUUACAAUUCAUAUUAUUUGUCUGCACUCUGCAACAUCUGUGUGGUUUCCCUGUUUUGAUUCUUAUAUUUCUGUAUUAGUUCUGAUUUUGCUAGCUUGUGUAGACGCUCGUCUCAGUACUUCUUCUUAUCUUAUUAAAUUACUUAUCUUUUAGUUCUGAUUUUGAUUUGAUCAAUUGCUUAGUAUCAUUCUGGUUCUAGGUUUCUAGUUUUGUGGUCUAUCUGCUGCAAAAAUCUAUUUGCUUAGUAUAUGGAUUUUCUCCUGUUAUUUUUUAAGUUUCAAAGGAAAAAUAGAGAUGACUCUUUUAAGAUAAAGUCCAAAACAGAGAGAAAAUCAAAGAAAAUGUGGCAUGUCCCAGAUAAAAAUUCCCAUUUGUUGCCCACCAAACACCAUGAAGAAUCUGGGUUUGAUGAGUUUAAUGGGGCUUGAUUUUCUGUGGCAGUCUUUAAUUUGUCAACAAUAAUUAUUGAAGUUGAAAUUAUGGCCUUACCUACUAGGCAGCUACUCGGAAGAUUCUAGGUCUUGGGCUUGUUAUGAUCAUUGUUAUGACUCUAGUGACUGAAAUGAUCCAUUGAUAUGUUGCUUAAGUUUAGCAGGGCAUGAAAAUCUUUCUCUUAUGGUUGUCUUAUACUCUUAUGGGGGAUGCUUUCGGCAACUAUGUGUCGAAGCUUGCUGUACUUGCUGUUUUAGUUAACAAGGUUGGUGUUCUUAUAGUGUACCUGAUUGUCAUUGGUGCAUAUAAUUUGGGUUUUCCUAUCGUUUUCUUCCUACUCUUAUAGCAAGAAGUUAGUUUUCUUUAGUGAUUGCUUGUGAAUUUAUGAUUUUGUGGAUGUCCUCUGGUGUUAUUGGUGGAUUAGUACUUUGGGGUUUGAUUUUGAAUUUUGAACUUGAAUGUUGACUCUACAGGGUGAGUGCUUUGUUGUUUGAUUCAUUAAGUUGUACUUUCGUACAACUAGUAGACAAUAAUUUUGGUUUCCAACUGAAUUUCAUGAAGGAGCUCAAUGUUUUUGGUUAAUAAUCUUGUUAAUUUAUACCACUUCUAAAAAACUGACGAAUUGUGGUGGACUAAUUGUCUACUUGAGACUUUUUUAGUUUCAUUGACAUCUUGUUAAUAGCAUUACUUACUGCUAUACUAUUUUGAUACAGAGUGCAGUGAGUUUGGUUUAAUUAUGGUUUUGUUGUGGUAACCCUAAUUUUUAUCAUUCAUUACAAGAUCUCCCUCAAAUUACCUAACAUGUUAAAUUAGGUGAUCUCACAACUUGCUAGUUUAGUUUUUCAUAUAUAUUGUCAGUAUGAUCCAUCAUGAGUGAGUUUGGAUUUGUUUUGUGCAUGCUAGUGUUUAGUCAAACGUGGUUGGUAAAUGAUAUAUGUUGCAGUCCUAACUCCUGUAAACAUGAAAUGGGUUUUCCAUUGUUCAAAUAUCCCUAUGGUAGAAGAGACUUGUAGAAGAGAACUUUUAUACAAUGGUUAUGCUACUGCUUGUAUAUGCUCCUGGUUAUGCUACUGCUUUUAUCAUGGUACUUAUAUAUGCUACUGCUGGUAUGCAGUAACCUUUGUCCAUGCUUCUUGUUCUUGAUUUAAGAUAGCAUGCACUCAUGACUCAUCAAUGUUCUGUUCCAAAACAGGAUUUACUCUCUCUGAGCUCAUAUUUACAGUGUGUGAUCACUGAAUCCAAUCCUUCACACAAGGUUCUCACAUUUCAUGCACGUUGCUCGUACCAAUUAUGCAGCGUACUUUCCUGGGAUUCCUAGCAUUUAUUUGCAAGAGGUGAUUGACGAGCUAAACCAAACACAAGACGAUGGAGAUUGAAGACAACGGUCAAGUUUGAAUUGUACAUUUUAUUUAAUUAUUUUAGAAUUUUAGUUUUAGUCGAUAGCAUUAGACUAUAGAAGUUUUAUUUUUAAGACAUUGGAAGAAAUAGAUGUUUUGAGCGAAAUUGGUUUUGUAUAUGAAUUAAAUGUUGCAAAGAUUUAUUUUGACAUGAUGAAUAAAGCAAAAAGGAAUUUCUAUUUAAUAAUAUUGUUGUAGCUAUUUAUA